UUAGUCAACAUUAAGAUUAUCAGAUUAUUAAGAAAUUAAAUAAUCAGUGUGAUAUUGUCUUUUACUGUUGCUUGACAACUAGAUUACUGUACCCAAUGAGUCAUUGUAUGUACAGUAAAAACGGUUUUAUUGUACUUUGGACAGUAUUCGUAUUGGAUUAUUCACUAUUCAGUGUCAGUUGUUAUUAAAUUGUAUGAAUACUUUGUUUUUCUCUGCUGUGUUUGUUGUUUAAAUCAGUAGAAUUAUCAAACGCACACUAAAGUAUAACGUGUAUACAACUUUGUCAAGAGACCUGGAUUCGUAGAGUUAAGAUUAAUAUUGAAACGAGACCAGUUAUGACCAAACUUAAAGGUGAUGGUUAACAACAAAAAAUAUAUAAUAAUGAAGGAGAAUAUUCCUAAUAUUUUGUGAGCAGAAUGUGAUUUCUAUGAACUUCAUAUACUGUGUGACUAAUCUUGUUGAAUAAAGGGAAUCAAAGUGUUCAGUGAUCUUCAUAGCCAAUAAUUUGAACUUCAAAAAUCAAGAAAAAUGUCUUUGAUUAUUGAGUUUAUACACAUAAAUACCCGAUCAAAGUGUUUUAGACACUCACAACUAUGUCUUCUAUAAAUGUUAGGCUGGCUUUGGAUAA